GUUAAAAAGCUCGUAGUUGGAUUUCUGCGGGGACGGGGCGGCCGGUCGCAACUUGCGACUCGAGCUAGCACUUUCCCCGCAUCCUGCCGCGAACCGUGCUACCAUUAGUUUGGUGGCGCUGGGGAUCGGCUCGAUUACUUUGAGAAAAAUAGAGUGUUCAAAGCAGGCCACACGCCUUGAAUAAGUUAGCAUGGAAUAAUGACUAAGGACUUCGGUUCUAUUUUGUUGGUGUUCGGGACUGAAGUAAUGAUUGAUAGGGACAGUUGGGGCGGUCUGUAUUCCAAAGCGAGAGGUGAAAUUCUUAGACCUUCGGAAGACAAACAGCUGCGAAAGCGUUCCGCAAGGAUGUUCCCUUUGAUCAAGAACGAAAGUUGGGGGAUCGAAGACGAUCAGAUACCGUCGUAGUCUCAACUAUAAACUAUACCAGCUAGGGAUCGGCCAACGUUUAAUAUAAUCGACUUGGUCGGCACCUUAUGAGAAAUCAAAGCAUCUGGGUUCCGGGGGGAGUAUGGUCGCAAGGCUGAAACUUAAA
rnacentral:rRNA from 1 species